UUCGUCUCAGUUUACAUGUGUUACGUUAGAACAUAUUCACCCUUUCUUAACUAUUUACACAAAACCAGCGUGUGGGGUACAUUUAUUAGAUAAAUUGAUUAAAUUUUUUUUUAUUUUUUAUUUCGCGCUUUCUUUUUAUUUCAUUAGAAAAAUUCUUGUACCUUAUUUGAUUUGGCGAUUUUUUACCUUUCCUUUCACCUGUUUACUUUUUACUUUUCUUUGGUAGAGAUUUCUUUGAUUAUUUUCUCUCCUUUUUUUAUAUUAUAUUUCAUUUGGUGAAAACUAACUUUUUCUUUUUGUAUUAGAUUUAUACAUUUUUAAAACAACACGCUUCCAGAUUACUAAGAAGUUAGAAAUUCUGAUAACUUGUAUUAUCAUUGAGAUUCAAUAAGCGGGAGAAUUUUCACGUUUCUAGGUUUCUGUAAAUAUAUAAAUAAAAUUGAAAACAGAUUUGUGGUUAUUAAAAAAAAAUAGAAAAAGUAAUUAAAGAAUUGGAAGAUUUGCAACAAAAGUACAUUGAAUGUAGGUAGGGACCUGAAGAAUUCUAAGAGCCUUCUGAAUAGUAUAUGGGUUACUCAGGAGAGUCUGCGACGUAGCUCUAGAGGGCCAUCUUCUAAUCCUUCCAGCUUCAUUCUUAUUUUGGCUUUGAUUGUAUAUUCAGUAGUGUAAAUCCGCUGUGAGAGAUAUUGCUGGGAAGGUGGAACUGCAAGGUCCUCCUCUAAUAAAGGUUUUGGCGAAUUUAUAGUAAGGCUACGCAACCUAAUACACACAUGCAGUUUUAUUAAGACCACCAGUCUUAUACAGAUUCACCACAGGUAGGAAGAAUUGAUGGAGCUCCUAUACUCCAGUUAACACAGAACCUAACAGCCUCCAGGUCCGACGCAUGUCCAGUGGCUACAGAAUCCACCCUGCAUAGGUUAGCGUAUCACUGAAAAGGCGAGUGUGGAAUCAGCCGCGUUUUAGUAUUCGCUUUCCUCAUCCAAAUUGAACACGACAUUCGGCGAUUUUAUUAAUCUCCUCCGAACGGUAACUGUGGUCUUGAAUAAUUUAUAUAAACCAAAGACCUUGAUCAAUGACAUUGGUGUCAAACGCUUGUUUGUCCCAAACAUCCAAGCCAUUGAUGAUAUCUAUAAUGAUAAAAAUAGCGUGGAAUCUGCGGUGAAGGUGAGUUCGAAUUGCCCUGUAUAUUUUACUUAUACAUAUUGUUGUGACAGGUUACGGUCUGGAUAAUUCGCUAUUUCUAGUAGACGUUAUUUCCAGUAGGCGUUAUUUCUAGUAGACAUUAUUUUCAGUAGACGUUAUUUCUAAUAGACCUUUUUUCCAGUAGGCGUUAUUUCCAGUAGUCGUUAUUUCUAGUAGACAUUAUUUCCAGUAGACGUUAUUUCUAGUAAGCAUUAUUUCCAGUAGACGUUAUUUCCAGUAGAAAUUAUUUCCAGUAGGCGUUAUUUCCAGUAGACGUUAUUUCUAGUAGAAAUUAUUUCCAGUAGACAUGCGACUGGAUAACUUAACCAAUAGCAGCCGCCAUAUCUCGACUAUACAGCGGCUGUAAAUCAGACGUGAUUCACAGGAGAGAUACAACUUUACUGGACUUUCUUAUCUACUGUCACACUUCUAAAUCAUGAGUUACACCAUCAAGUCUUAUUCACUAGAUGUUACAGUAGAGUUGAGAUAUCUUGUUACUUUGUCUUUGUAUGAAUAUAUGUUCUUUAAACUCAGUUUCACACAGUGAUUUCUUAAAUUUAUUAUUAUAUAAUGUUUUCUAGACUAUUGUUUUUAUUAUGAAAAAAAGAUUGAAAUAUUUUUGAACAUUUUACAUAUGUGAAGCUAAUAUGUACUAAUAUUGGCUUUAUAUCUUGGUUUAAUUUCUCUAUAAAUAAUAUAUAUGUGUUUCAAUGAUUUAACUAAUUUAAUCCUUUUUAUUAUGAAAUUCUAUUAGCAAACCCUUUUAAAAACAACACAGUCUACUAAAUUUCCAGAAAUUCUUAAUAAAAUCCCUGUUAACUUCUAGAAGACAUUUUUGGUGAACUAUGUCAUUUUUGUACAAUAGGGUGACCAGUGUUAUCUUGUUUUAUUAUUUUUAAAAUCUUUGGUAUUUUGGGUCUAGGCUCAACCUGACCUUACCAAGGGAUUGACGUCUUGUUUAGGGGUUAUAGCCGUAGACCCAUGUUUCAUCACCAAUGAUUAUCUUGUUUUUCCAUUCCCCGGGAUCUUAUUGCAAUUAUCAAGAUGUUCUUACAAGUUUCGAACCUGAAUACAGUUGAACCUGUCUAUAGCGCCCCCUCUUGGGAUUCACCAAAAUAGGGUGCUAUAGAGAGGGGGUGCUAUAGACAGGUCACUUUUAAUGUAAAAUGUUUACAUUUUAAUGUUUAAAAACGGGCGCUAUAGAGAGGAAGGCGCUAUUUAGAGGGGUACUAUAUAAUGAUUUUAGAGAAAACUGUCUUUUACUCUAAUUUCCGUAAAUUAUAUUGAGGGUUUUAUUUUUGUGUGUUUGACUAAUUUGCUGAUUUGUGUCAUAUUUUCCUGAAUUCUUUGCAGAAUAUGAAAGUCAAUGAUGAGGAUUAUCAUUAAAUAAGAUUCAGUUAUUUAUAUAUCGCGGAUAACAUUCGCCUAAGGGUAUUAUUGAUGAAUGCUUGAUAAAUCUUGUUCAAAGCUCCGUUAGCUGAAUUUCGAAAAUUGAGAUAAAAAUCUAAGUAAAUACUUUCAUAUUUUAUUCUGAUCCAUUGAAAAAUACCUAAGGCAAAACAGUAAAUUUUCAAAUAUCGAUUAAUUUGGAAUACACGUAUGUGUAGCGUCUCGAAUAUUGUGUCACUUUUGAAGCCAUCUUUUAUUCUAUUAAAUAAAAUUAAAAAUUAGUAAAAACGUAUUUAUUUUUUUUAUGUUUUCUUGGAAAUUAUUAGACGCACACCUUGUAUUUAAAUAUUUUCUAUAUAGGUUUAUAUAUUUUUAAUAUAAAAUUCGUAAAGUAUCAAAUACAAAGAUUACUUAUAUGCCUUUGUGAAUUUUGCAAAAAAAAACUGAGUUUCUGACUAUGGUAUAUUGUAUCACGACAAUCUGGAUAUACGCUGUUGACUCCUAUAGUAUGAAGUGGAUACAUUCCUUUCUAAGCUGGAUGAUAGAGAGGGGAAGUGUGAAGCUAAUGGGAAAUGGAAAAUCUAUACAUGUGGAUAAGAAAGUGACAGGAGAAGGUAUUUGUCGUAGAGGAGAAACACUCUGUAAAGGCUUUGAGAAUAGACAAUAAGAAAACGAAUUAAUUCAUUUUCUACCGCUCGUAGAAUGAAAACCUCUAUUCAAAGAAGUUUAGAAGUGGACAGCCCACCUUAGAUUCUUAAUCCCCUGUUAAUCCCCAAUAAUUAUGACCUUUUAGAAGGAUUUUCAACUUUUCCGGAACCCUGAAUCUCUCUCGAAUGAAAUGGAAAAGCAAAUCAAGUUUAUUGGAACUUUUGUUACAUACGUCACGUAGUAAGAGGUUUAAAUAAUUUUAAAGAUAAAUAAAGAUGUGGAUGUGUUAAAAGACGUAUGUUUAUUAUAGUAAAAUUGUGUGAAUGUUUCUAUUCUAUAAUAUUUGAGUUUAUUUCAUCAUAUAAUGACUGGUUAUACUUUAAAUAUGGUAGAUGGUUUUAAAAAUGUUAUAAAUUAUAUUCAUAAAUAUAAUAAUUUAAAUUUGAUGCACUGAGAUUUGGUGUAUGUCUUGAUUAAUCUUUUAUAAAAUAAUUUGUAUUAAAAUUUGUGUUUUCUUUUAUCAUAUAAUGACUAGUUAUUCUUCACAUGUAGAAGAUGGUUUUUUAAUGCUAUGUGUAUAUUCAAAUAAUAAUUUAAUAUAUAUAUAUACUGAUUCGGUGUAGUUUUAUCUUAUAGUUUGCUUUUGAAAUUUACUAUAUAUUUUCUUUAAUUUAACAGGCAUAUAUUGGAACAAAUUAUAAUUUGCCUACCAAUAUUUCAGUUGGCUGAACGCUAACAUUUUUUAAGGUAUUAAAACAGAUUUAUGUCAACAACAAACUCAGCGCCACAUGACGUCAAAAAGCGUUAUGUAGCGCUGAGUUUGUUGUUGACACAUAAAUAUGUUAUGAUACCUUGAUAAAGGUUGGCGUUCAGCCAAUUGAAAAAUUGGUAAAUAACUUAUAUUUUGAUCCAAUAUAUGCCUUUUUUUAUUGAAGAUAUAUUUAUGGAUUGCACUAUUCCACACAAUAUCGUUCUGAAAAUAAAGCAAUCCAUACUUAAAUCAUUAGAUAGUAAAAAGGCAUAUAUUGGAUUGAAUAAAGGAAAAUAAAUCUUUUAUUCAGUCCAAUAUAUGCCUUUUUACUCUCUAAUAUAUAUAAUUAAAUGACUGUAUUUUAAAUGUUGAUAUGUGUAGGCUGAGGAUUCAAAAGCCAUCAAGAACCUGAGCUCUGCGAUUUAGAAAUAAAGGGCUUUACAUUCAAGAGAGCUAUCCGUAGACAGUGAAGAGGUAUGUGCCAACUGUCAUGGAGUUGCUCUCUUUAAAGUAAGCCCUAAAGCAUCUUCAUCCAACACCGCAAACGUGGCAAGUAUAUUUUUAUCAUUGCAUUAAUGUGAAAUAAAUAUGGUAUGUGCUUUAUAAUUUAUAUACUUAUUUUAUAUAUUAUCGAUAAUUAUAUUUUCAUAUUAUUUAUUAUUAUUAUUAACAGAGUUUACCACAGCACUGACCAGGAGUCAAUAUAUCAAAUGUAAAUAUCUUUGUUUACUUUUAAUGUUGUUACUUAUUGAAGUUGUAAAUAAAAAUAUGUAAAUAGAUUGACCAUUCGUUACACUUUUUAGAGAGAAACUUGUAACCUUUUUUGAAAAUAAAGUUAAAAGAGUUUCAAUAUAGAUAGAGAACCACAUUGUAAAAAUAAAAAUAAUUAAUAGCUAUUUUCACAAUGCCUAUAAUAUAAUAUACUCUAUUUUCCUAAUAUAUAUUUAGUAAUAAAGGUCAAUAUACACUAGAUUUUCUUGUACCAUAAACAUACAUAGUGUUACAGCCCCAAAAUGUACAUAAAAAUCAACGCGUCAUCUUGAGGAUCAUGUAAUCUUAAAUUGCACAAUAUAUUCGGAACUAUUAAAAACGCGUAUGAUUCUUGAAAAAAAUUACUGCAAGAGCAGUAGAAACUGUUUAUUUUUAAAAAGAAUUAUACGUGUCUAUAAUAGUUUCGAAUUUUGAUAACAGAUGGCGCGCUAAUGCAUCAUAAGCUAAUAUAUAUAGGGUUUAUAAAGAGAGUCAGUCAAUGCGACCCAAAAAAGACGGGAUCCAGUCCUAAGAAAUAAUCGCCGAGAUUACAUUAGACAAUAAAAAGUUCCUUUAUCGUCGCAUGCAAUCCUUCUCGGGGAUCUUCCACAAGUCAUUAGUUUGAAGAUAGUUAUUGACCGACUGAUGGACGAACUACAUCUCACACACUCCUGGAUAUUGCCGUGUGGCGCCGCUGGUAUCUCUUAUGUGCCACCCAGCUUGCCUCGUCCUUUGUUUAUUUAUUUAUGCUUAUGAGGUGAUACAGCAACGCCUUUACAAUAAGAGAGGAGACAAAAUGAAUCAAAUCUAGAAAAAAGAAGUGAGGACUUCUCGGUCAUUAAAGUCUGAGAGGCAAGGCCUUCAGCCAGUUCAGGGCUUCCGGGGUGACAGAGUGGAGAUUGGAGAUUCCUCCAUUGAAUUUGUACAGCGGGCAGUCAUCUAGUAUAUGGGACAUUGAUUGUGGGACGUUGCAGGCAUAUAUAUAUAUAAUGAUUAUUUUUUGUUUUAUUGUAGAAAAGAGGUGCAGUCGUGAAAAAGUAAAGAUAAUUAUUUACCUUUCAAGUAGAUUUUAUAUUGAAUUACUGGAAGUAAAAUUACACAUAAAAAUAUUUAUCACAGCAAUAUAGAAUUUAUAGAAUGAAUUCUAUAAUCGUGAUUAAAAAAAAAUAGGUAGGGUUAAAUAUACAUAUUUACAACAAUAAUUAAAGUGGUAUGUUCUGAAUCUAUAUGGUCAAAAAAUGUAGAACAGUCAAUGAAUGAAAAUGAAAUAUAUGUUUUUAAAAAAAAUAAAAUAUUUGUUUUUUAGAUUAUAUAAUAUAUAUAUAAUAAAAAGGCCUAUAUUGGAUUGAAUAUAUAUAAAAGAUUUAUUUGCCGAAUUUCGGUUGGCUGAACGCCAACCUUUGUUAAGGCAUUACGGUUUGCGUUCAGCCACCCGAAAUAUUGGCAAAUAAAUAUUUUAUUCAAUCCAAUAUAUACCUUCUUACUAUCUAAAGAUUUGAAUAUGUAUUUUUCUAUAUUCAUAACUAUAUAUAUAUUUAAAUAAAAGGGCAUAUAUUGGAUAAAAAUAUCAUUUAUUUUACCAAUACACCUAAUAAAAAUGAUAUUUUGAUCCAAUAUAUGCCCUUUUAUUUAAAGAUUUAUUUAUGGAUUGCUCUAUUUUCAAUAUAUAUAUAUAUAAAUAUUACAGGCUCCUGGAGCGCCGAACGCAACUAUCUGGUAAAAUAUUGAAAGUGGUUUAAUUAAACAAAUAAAACGUAUAUAUAAGACCAGAUUUUUAAAAAAUAACUAUUUCUGAUGCGUAUGUUUCUUUUAAAAUAAAGUAAUUAUCAACUACCCUUGUUGCUAUGAUUAAAAUAAUGGGAGGACCUGGCUCAUCAGUGAUGGCCCCUCUCAAUGGUUUCGUCAGAUUAAUAUACCAUAACACUCCAAUAUUUCAUUGGGUUUUUUUCUUUUGGUGAACUCUUGUAAAAGGUAUUUCAAACGAACUAUGGACAUAAGCUUUGAUGCUUGUUCAGUAACAGAUGAAAGGUAGUAGUAGAGAGGAAAAUAUCAGCUGUGUAGUCAGGAGUAAGAUGUAACUAAGUUGCGGUGUUCCCAAGACUCACAAAAGUCCAUCUUACCUUCUUGAGUGCCACGCUAAACUGUUGUAACCAUGUUCUAUGCGUGUGGACUUCUUUUGUGUUCAGGAUUGUGCAACUUCAGUCCAAACUUCAUGUUUGAUGAGGAGCCUACUGUGGCAGUGUCGGCUUCACACUUUACAACAUAUAUAUUCUAUAAACAGUUACGAGCGUCAUUCCUCAUCUCCUAAUCAAUCAGUCAUCAGUUUUCAUCUCUGUAACCGUUUGCUUUUUUUUUGGAAUGGCGCCCUCCUAUUGGCUGGCUACGGUCACGCCACCUUUGCCCCCCCAUCAUGCCCCCCCCACUCGCUAUUCCGUCUUUGUAACUAUUGUGUUGGAGCGGGUCGCUCCCUAAAUAAAUGCAUAUAUUAGAUAAUAACCAAAUGGAAUCCUCUCUUUCUUUUUCCCAGUAAGAGACGCCUCCGGAAGCCAACAGUACAUAGACAGAUAAAACACAUAGGCUAUAGUUAUUAACUAACAUAUGCAAUUUUUAAAAGGCGCCAAUUUAUAAUUGUAUAAAAUAGUAUUUGAAUCAAAACAUUCAAUCGGGUAAAACACGGGCGUUGCCCGGGUCAUUCGUCUAGUAUAGAAUAACAGUGGGUGUUUUUUGAUAUGUAUAUUUAUUAAAAUAUCCAAAUAUUUGUUUGUGUUGAUAGUUUAUUUUUAUUGAUUGAAGUGAUCUUCCUAUUUAAUUUACUUUAUAACUAGAAAUUAUUUCUCUCUUUAAAAUACCAUCAUCUAUGAGUGUAUUUUGAUAUGUAUAAUUAUUAAAAUAUCCAAAUAUUUGUUUGUGUUGAUAGUUUAUUUUCAUUCAUUGAAGUUGAUCCCCCCCUAUUGAAUUUACUUUAUUACUAGAAAUUAUUUCUCUCUUUCGAAGACUAUCAUCUAUGAGUGCAUUUUGAUAGGUAUAAUUAUAAAAAAUUUCAAAUUUCUGUUUGUGCGUUGAUAUUUUAUUUUUAUUCAUUGAAGGCUUCCACCUAUUAAGAUUACUUUAUUGCUGAAUAUAUUUCUCUCUUUCAAAGACUUUCAUCUAUGAGUGUAUUUCGAUAUGUACAAUUAUUGAUAUAUUCAAAUAUUUGUUUGUGUUGAUAGUUUAUUUUUAUUCAUUGAAGUGAUUCAAUCAAAUUUAAAACUAGACAUUAAUUUUCUCUUUCAAAGACUCAUCUACAAGUAUCAUCUAUCAUAAGUUGGGUAACGCCAAUCAACUCAUUGACCUGUCUUUUUGUGGGGAAAAACUCUGACAGUGCAUCGUUAGCGGAGUCCUUUCCGCGUUGAGCGUUAUUAACGAAAACUUGUAUUUAAUAUUAUUUAUUUAUAUUCAUUUAUUUGUAUGUGUGUCUGUAUUCAUAUAACCUUAUAUGAAAAUGAAAGAAAAGAAAAAAGAUAAAAAGAUCAGGUGUUGAAAUCAAAAAUAAAAAUGGCAUAUCCAGACCAGGAGCACAUGUGCUUUACAGAAGGCAGAACGCCAUCUGGUGGAACAGAAAUCAAAUAAUCAUUGAUUAAUAUCAGGGAACAGGCUAAAUCAAUGAUUAGUUGAUUUCUGUUCCACCAGAUGGCGUUGUGCCUUCUGUAAAGCACAUGUGCCCCUGGUCAGGAUAUGCCAUUUUUAUUUUUGUUAACCUUAUAUGUGUGGAAAUUUUAAUAA